rnacentral:rRNA from 1 species
AUUGAACGCUGGCGGCAGGCUUAACACAUGCAAGUCGGGCGGAAACGAAGAUAGCUUGCUAUCAGGCGUCGAGCGGCGGACGGGUGAGUAACGCGUAGGAAUCUACCUAAUGGUGGGGGAUAGCCCGGGGAAACUCGGAUUAAUACCGCAUACACUCUACGGAGGAAAGCAGGGGCUCUUAGGACCUUGCGCCAAUAGAUGAGCCUGCGUGAGAUUAGCUAGUUGGUGAGGUAAUGGCUCACCAAGGCGACGAUCUCUAGCUGGUCUGAGAGGAUGAUCAGCCACACUGGGACUGAGACACGGCCCAGACUCCUACGGGAGGCAGCAGUGGGGAAUAUUGGACAAUGGGGGCAACCCUGAUCCAGCCAUGCCGCGUGUGUGAAGAAGGCCUUCGGGUUGUAAAGCACUUUCAGCGAGGAGGAAGGCUGUAUGGCUAAUACCCCUACAGAUUGACGUUACUCGCAGAAGAAGGACCGGCUAACUCCGUGCC